AUUGAACGCUGGCGGCAUGCCUUACACAUGCAAGUCGAGCGGUAACGGGCCUUCGGGUGCCGACGAGUGGCGAACGGGUGAGUAAUGUAUCGGAACGUACCUUUCAGUGGGGGAUAACGUAGCGAAAGUUACGCUAAUACCGCAUAUUCUGUGCGCAGGAAAGCAGGGGAUCGCAAGACCUUGCGCUGAUUGAGCGGCCGAUAUCAGAUUAGCUAGUUGGUGAGGUAAAGGCUCACCAAGGCGACGAUCUGUAGCGGGUCUGAGAGGAUGAUCUGCCACACUGGAACUGAGCCACGGUCCAGACUCCUACGGGAGGCAGCAGUGGGGAAUUUUGGACAAUGGGGGCAACCCUGAUCCAGCCAUGCCGCGUGAGUGAAGAAGGCCUUCGGGUUGUAAAGCUCUUUCGGCCGGGAAGAAAUCGUAUCAGCUAAUACCUGGUGCGGAUGACGGUACCGGCAUAAGAAGCACCGGCUAACUACGUGCCAGCCGCCGCCGUAACAC
rnacentral:rRNA from 1 species